rnacentral:rRNA from 1 species
UACGGGGGGGGCUAGUGUUAUUCAGAAGUAUUGGGCGUAAAGAGCUCGUAGGCGGUUUGUCGCGUCUGCCGUGAAAGCCCGGGGCUUAACCCCGGGUCUGCAUUCGAUACGGGCAGGCUAGAGUUCGGUAGGGGAGAUCGGAAUUCCUGGUGUAGCGGUGAAAUGCGCAGAUAUCAGGAGGAACACCGGUGGCGAAGGCGGAUCUCUGGGCCGAUACUGACGCUGAGGAGCGAAAGCGUGGGGAGCGAACAGG